rfam:Cucumis melo, WGS project CAJI01000000 data, contig: 11135
UCUUUAUGCUUUGAUGAUGUUUGAUAAUCCCAGCUCGAUGAGAUCUUUUGAACAUCGGGGAAUAGUCUUUACCCAUCAAGUAUCUGAGCUAAAAG